AACGAACGCUGGCGGCAUGCCUAACACAUGCAAGUCGAACGAGACCUUCGGGUCUAGUGGCGCACGGGUGCGUAACGCGUGGGAACCUGCCCUUAGGUUCGGAAUAACUCCCCGAAAGGGGUGCUAAUACCGGAUAAUGUCUUCGGACCAAAGAUUUAUCGCCUUUGGAUGUGCCCGCGUUGGAUUAGCUAGUUGGUAGGGUAAAAGCCUACCAAGGCGACGAUCCAUAGAUGGUCUGAGAGGAUGAUCAGCCACACUGGGACUGAGACACGGCCCAGACUCCUACGGGAGGCAGCAGUGGGGAAUAUUGGAAAAUGGGCGAAAGCCUGAUCCAGCAAUGCCGCGUGAGUGAUGAAGGCCUUAGGGUUGUAAAGCUCUUUUACCCGGGAUGAUAAUGACAGUACCGGGAGAAUAAGCUCCGGCUAACUCCGUG
rnacentral:rRNA from 1 species